GAUAUAACUGGCUCAUCUCUGCCUUCCUCAAUAUUAGUGGACAACACCCAUGCCAUACUGUACGCUGUAAAGCUCACGUUCUUCUGAUUUCGUGAUAGAAUCUCUUUGGCUCCGCUUUUCAGAGUUUUAAAGAGCAGGGAGAACACCAUUUAGAGCCGGGUUCUUUCUGCCUCCAUUUGAAGAGUCUGAGUCCCCGGCUCUUCAGAGGCCACCUUCUGGGAGGCCCCCCAACACUGCUCCAAACCUGCCAAGAAACCCUUGAUGUGCUCCAGGCUCCAUUCUCACCGCUCCCACCUUGGAAUGGAAACUUUGUGCCUGCCUACAAAUACUGCCUUGAACACUUGAAAAACCCAGCGCUCCCCUCAGGUGGAACGCGAGUCUUUGGAACAAACGUGAAAGGAAUUCGUUAAGUGAAGUUCCUGAACGUGAACGCGAGCGAGGCACCGAGAGUCAAGUGCCGCACGCACUUCAUUACUAAAAGCUGCUGCCUGGGAGUGACUGCCUCAAGAACACUGCGGAGCGAGGCAUGAAAGGCGCCGAUUCCGUUCCCUCUCAGCUUCCCAACUUCAAGAGACCCGUCCUAGAGACUUGGGAUGACCGAGGGAGGUUGCAAUUCUGACAGUGGGAGCUGUCCAUGCCCCAGUCUUACCCCUCUUUCGAGUAGCCCAGGCAGAUUGGUCUCUGUCCGUCUCUGUACUUCUCAUUCUGCUUGAGUAUAUGAGCACCACUAAUCAGGUUCCCCAGCCCAGCACAUUCUCAUCUGAGGAGUUAAGGAAAGAGAAGAAUACAUGUUUGACCGUCUCCACUCAAAUGCAUGAUUCCUACACCUUCUUCAAGAGACUGAAGGUCCUGAGCUCUGGGGCUUUGCUGUUUAUAAUUUCAGGUGUACACGCUUAGGGUUUGCAGUGUGAUGAUUAGAUAUGCAUGUACAUAGUUUAUUGAUGCAGUUAGAAUGUCUAACACUUUGAUCUGCUUGAAUAUUUAAUGUGUUUUAUUGAUGUGUAAUAAAUGUAUUGGCUCAUAAGGCACACUGUAUAUUUCAAGACUGUAUGAAGCAUAGUGAUCAAGUAAGAGCAAUUGGUACUUCCAUCUCCUCGUUAUUGUUCAUUUGUACUCUUCCUGGUGCUCCCCUCUUCUGCUUAUUUAUAUAAUAAAGAGUAUAGAAUAUAGAAAUAUA